rnacentral:rRNA from 1 species
CGUAAGGAGCGGUGGACUGUACAGAAGUGAGAAUGCUGGCAUAAGUAGCGAGAAAUAAGUGAGAAUCUUAUUGGCCGAAAACCUAAGGUUUCCUGGGGAAGGUGCGUCCGCCCAGGGUUAGUCGGGACCUAAGCCGAGGCCGAAAGGCGUAGGUGAUGGACAAUCGGUUGAUAUUCCGAUACCGCCUAUUUACGUUUGAGA